UACGAAGGGGGCUAGCGUUGCUCGGAAUCACUGGGCGUAAAGGGCGCGUAGGCGGACUCUUAAGUCGGGGGUGAAAGCCCAGGGCUCAGCCCUGGAAUUGCCUUCGAUACUGGGAGUCUUGAGUUCGGAAGAGGUUGGUGGAACUGCGAGUGUAGAGGUGAAAUUCGUAGAUAUUCGCAAGAACACCAGUGGCGAAGGCGGCCAACUGGUCCGAAACUGACGCUGAGGCGCGAAAGCGUGGGGAGCAAACAGG
rnacentral:rRNA from 1 species